AUGAGUUAGUGGCGCACGGGUGAGUAAUGUAUAGUUAAUCUGCCCUAUGCUGGAGGACAACAGUUAGAAAUGACUGCUAAUACUCCAUACUCCUUCUUAACAUAAGUUAAGUUGGGAAAGUAGCUCUUAAUAAUGCAUAUAAAAUGGAUUUUAAAACAAAAAGCUAAAAAGAUAACAAUGAGCUUUUUUAAAGCCUUACAUAAGUAAGGCAAGAAAAAGUGAAGCAGUUAGCUUUUAAAGAUUUUUGUAAAAAUUCUAAAUUAUAAAAUAGUUUUCAAAUUAAAAAUAUUUUCUUUAAAAGAGAUUAAUAAAAGUAAUUUUAAAACUUUUUUAUAUGUAUUAUUAAGAGCUCUCG
rnacentral:rRNA from 1 species